rnacentral:rRNA from 1 species
UACGAAGGGGGCUAGCGUUGUUCGGAAUUACUGGGCGUAAAGCGCACGUAGGCGGGUUGUUAAGUCAGGGGUGAAAUCCUGGAGCUCAACUCCAGAACUGCCUUUGAUACUGGCAACCUAGAGACUGGAAGAGGUUAGUGGAAUUCCCAGUGUAGAGGUGAAAUUCGUAGAUAUUGGGAAGAACACCAGUGGCGAAGGCGGCUAACUGGUCCAGCACUGACGCUGAGGUGCGAAAGCGUGGGGAUCAAGCAGG